CACCAACACCCGAAGUCCGCCUCGGCGGCCUAAGGUGGGGGAGAUGAUUGGGGUUAAGUCGUAACAAGGCAUCGGUACGAGAACGUGUCGAUGGAUUACCUCCUUU
rnacentral:rRNA from 1 species